UGCCAGGCUAUAUUUAAUCAAGGUUACUCAUUUCCUGUUACUUCUUUCUUCUUGGUUUUAUAGCAUAUUCAACAAGAAAUCUCAAAGGUUAGCCCCUUGAUCUCAUCUUUGAAUGACUCUCACAAUUAAAGUACACAGAGUACGCUGAGAAUUUACUGCAAAUGUGAGAAUUGUGCAGGCAGAGCCAAGUUAUUAAAGGACAUUGAAUCAAGGUGGUCUGGAACGGAACCUGCAAUAUCUUCAAGGUAUACCUGCAUACAUAGAAACAUUUUUUUAAGAUUAAUCAUUAAGUAUUAUAUAGACCUGUCUCCCUGAAAGGCUUAUGACAUUUAGCAGUGAAAAGAUACCUAUGAUAAUCUUUACUGUCUGGAAGGAAGACCUUGAUUCCCUUUUAAGUUCUAGGCUAUUUAAAUUCUGACCCUGGAUGUAACAGUCUGCCCUUUCUUAUUGAUUUGAACAAAUAGCAGAACCUAAUAGAUGAGUUAAAAUAUUCUCAUGAAGAAAAUGAAUAUUGAUAAUCCAGUUGGCAUAUUUAGUGGUAAUAUUCUUUAUGCUGUAAUGUUUUUAUUUCUGUUG